rnacentral:rRNA from 1 species
AUUGAACGCUGGCGGCAGGCUUAACACAUGCAAGUCGAGCGGAGAUGAGGUGCUUGCACUAUCACUUAGCGGCGGACGGGUGAGUAAUGCUUAGGAAUCUGCCUAUUAGUGGGGGACAACAUCUCGAAAGGGAUGCUAAUACCGCAUACGUCCUACGGGAGAAAGCAGGGGAUCACUUGUGACCUUGCGCUAAUAGAUGAGCCUAAGUCGGAUUAGCUAGUUGGUGGGGUAAAGGCCUACCAAGGCGAAGAUCUGUAGCGGGUCUGAGAGGAUGAUCCGCCACACUGGGACUGAGACACGGCCCAGACUCCUACGGGAGGCAGCAGUGGGGAAUAUUGGACAAUGGGGGGAACCCUGAUCCAGCCAUGCCGCGUGUGUGAAGAAGGCCUUAUGGUUGUAAAGCACUUUAAGCGAGGAGGAGGCUCUUUUGGUUAAUACCCAGAAUGAGUGGACGUUACUCGCAGAAUAAGCACCGGCUAACUCUGUGCCAGCCGCCGCGGUAAGAC